GCUGGGCAUGGUGGUGCGUGCCUGUAAUCCCAGCUACUCAGGAGGCUGAGGCAGGAGAAUCACUUGAACCCGGGAGGCAGAGGUUGCAGUGAGCCGAGAUCGCGCCACUGCACUCCAGCCUGGGUGACAGAGCGAGACUCUGUCUCCA
rnacentral:SRP_RNA from 1 species